rnacentral:ncRNA from 1 species
CCGGAUUAGUGUCCACAAUCCGUUCCCGCGCUCACAUGCGUUGCCGGUAACGGCGGGGUGUGAAGCUGAGCGUUCAAGCCCAAGAGU